rnacentral:rRNA from 1 species
UGGGGAAUAUUGCACAAUGGGCGAAAGCCUGAUGCAGCAACGCCGCGUGAGUGAUGAAGGUCUUCGGAUUGUAAAGCUCUGUCUUUUGGGACGAUAAUGACGGUACCAAAGGAGGAAGCCACGGCUAACUACGUGCCAGCAGCCGCGGUAAUACGUAGGUGGCGAGCGUUGUCCGGAUUUACUGGGCGUAAAGGGUGCGUAGGCGGAUGUUUAAGUGAGAUGUGAAAUACCCGGGCUUAACUUGGGUGCUGCAUUUCAAACUGGAUAUCUAGAGUGCAGGAGAGGAGAAUGGAAUUCCUAGUGUAGCGGUGAAAUGCGUAGAGAUUAGGAAGAACACCAGUGGCGAAGGCGAUUCUCUGGACUGUAACUGACGCUGAGGCACGAAAGCGUGGGUAGCAAACAGGAUUAGAUACCCUGGUAGUCCACGCCGUAAACGAUGAGUACUAGGUGUAGGAGGUAUCGACCCCUUCUGUGCCGCAGUAAACACAUUAAAGUACUCCGCCUGGGAAGUACGAUCGCAAGAUUAAAAC